rnacentral:rRNA from 1 species
GAUGAACGCUGGCGGCGUGCCUAAUACAUGCAAGUCGAGCGAACAGACGAGGAGCUUGCUCCUCUGACGUUAGCGGCGGACGGGUGAGUAACACGUGGAUAACCUACCUAUAAGACUGGGAUAACUUCGGGAAACCGGAUCUAAUACCGGAUAAUAUAUUGAACCGCAUGGUUCAAUAGUGAAAGACGGUUUUGCUGUCACUUAUAGAUGGAUCCGCGCCGCAUUAGCUAGUUGGUAAGGUAACGGCUUACCAAGGCAACGAUGCGUAGCCGACCUGAGAGGGUGAUCGCCAACACUGGAACUGAGACACGGUCCAGACUCCUACGGGAGGAAGCAGUAGGGAAUCUUCCGCAAUGGGCGAAAGCCUGACGGAGCAACGCCGCGUGAGUGAUGAAGGUCUUCGGAUCGUAAAACUCUGUUAUUAGGGAAGAACAAAUGUGUAAGUAACUAUGAACGUCUUGACGGUACCUAAUCAGAAAGCCACGGCUAACUACGUG